GCCUUACGGCCAGGGCUACACACGUGCUACAAUGGCGCGUACAGAGGGCUGCAAGCUAGCGAUAGUGAGCGAAUCCCAAAAAGCGCGUCGUAGUCCGGAUCGGAGUCUGCAACUCGACUCCGUGAAGUCGGAAUCGCUAGUAAUCGCAAAUCAGAAUGUUGCGGUGAAUACGUUCCCGGGCCUUGUACACACCGCCCGUCACACCAUGGGAGUGGGUUGCACCAGAAGUAGAUAGCUUAACCUUCGGGAGGGCGUUUACCACGGUGUGA
rnacentral:rRNA from 1 species